rnacentral:rRNA from 1 species
UAGGGAAUCUUCCGCAAUGGGCGAAAGCCUGACGGAGCAACGCCGCGUGAGUGAUGAAGGUCUUCGGAUCGUAAAACUCUGUUAUUAGGGAAGAAUAAAUGUGUAAGUAACUAUGCACGUCUUGACGGUACCUAAUCAGAAAGCCACGGCUAACUACGUGCCAGCAGCCGCGGUAAUACGUAGGUGGCAAGCGUUAUCCGGAAUUAUUGGGCGUAAAGCGCGCGUAGGCGGUUUUUUAAGUCUGAUGUGAAAGCCCACGGCUCAACCGUGGAGGGUCAUUGGAAACUGGAAAACUUGAGUGCAGAAGAGGAAAGUGGAAUUCCAUGUGUAGCGGUGAAAUGCGCAGAGAUAUGGAGGAACACCAGUGGCGAAGGCGACUUUCGGGUCUGUAACUGACGCUGAUGUGCGAAAGCGUGGGGAUCAAACAGG